AACAUUCAAAAAUCAUGAAUCACUCCUCACCACAACCCCUGCCCUCAAUUUUUGGGUUUAAAAAUCACAAGAGUUAAAAAUCAAAACAAUAUAUUUUGGAUGCUUUGUUUACUGUCUGUUUAACAUUUAAGGUAUGCAAAGGUCAUGUUUUCAAGCUUUAUUUCACAACUAUGAGGGGUAGAAACUGACUUUUUUUUUUUUUAUUUUUGAGAGCUAACAUGCUCAUGAAUCCAAGACCUGGGCCUUGAAGAAAAGCCUGAAAUGAGACAUGCAAUGAAAUCAUGAAAGUCAGCAGCACUUUGCCCCAGUGUCUUCCCUGGAAUUUGUGGCAACAAACAAGCAAAACAGCUUUGCUCAAAUGCUUUGUAUGUGUGCGGAAGUGACUGUGGUGUUUUAUGUCCUGAUUCUUUUAAGAAGAGAGGCACAAGAACUGCUUUGAUUUUUUUUCUCCUCUCUUCUGAUUGCAAACAGAAAUAACAAUGAUAAUAAAAACAUGAGUUCAGCCUCAGAGGUGAUAGAAUAAAUAUUUCUUUUAUAGUCAGCAUGUUUGAGAAUAUGAACAUGAUCCUCAAUUUUCUAGGUGCAAUUUGCAUAGACCACUGGACAGUUGCUCCAAAAUUGCUAUGUUACUGGAGACUGUCACUCACUUGAGAUUUUCUUUUACCCUUUUGUCUAUGAGCAGAGCAAGAUAAUUGAUGCGGUUAUAAGAAGAAAAAGGCACCGCAAAAGAGAAGAGCUCAAAACUGCAUUUUAAAACAGUUUGGUUGAAGCAUUCAUAGAAAAAUUUAGCUGGCAUGGGAAGAGCUUUUGUGUUUGUUUUUUGCAUCUCACAAUGCCCUUUGAGAGGAUGACACUAAUAACUUUAACACCAGUGUGUGCUGUUAUGUCAUAAUUUUUUGCUUUUGUUUUAGUAUUUUAAAGAAUUUAGAUCUCAAAAGCAAAGUGUUGCAAUUACAAUUAAAAAAAUCUUCCUCUUCUGAGAAAGGAGUAGAUUGCAUCAGAGAAGAGGCUGUGUUUUCAUUGGCUAGAGUGGCACUGAUUAGCCCUCAGAAGCCUUUUCAUGUGUGCAUUUUUCUCUCUCUCUGUUGCACUACCACUCUUUGAACUAUGUCAGUGGUCACCAAUUUUCUUCCCUUUUAUUUUUUUAGUUUUAGUUUUCUUAGGUUCUUCAACUACUGCAGAUAAGACUUUUACCAUUCUCUUUAAUGAGACUAGAAUCAGGCUAGUAAUGUAACUUCUCCUUGAGAAUGCAAGUUAAAUGUAUUCAAACUACUGAAUCGUCAUUUAAAAAUAAAGGGUCAGGUACUCAAUGGC